rnacentral:rRNA from 1 species
UACGUAGGGGGCAAGCGUUGUCCGGAAUCAUUGGGCGUAAAGCGCGUGUAGGCGGCCAGAAAAGUCCGCUGUGAAAACUCGAGGCUCAACUUCGAGCUGUCGGUGGAAACUUUCUGGCUAGAGUCCGGAAGAGGAGAAUGGAAUUCCUGGUGUAGCGGUGAAAUGCGCAGAUAUCAGGAAGAACACCCGUGGCUAAGGCGGUUCUCUGGGACGGUACUGACGCUGAGACGCGAAAGCGUGGGGAGCGAACAGG